UACGUAGGGACCAAGCGUUGUCCGGAAUCAUUGGGCGUAAAGCGCGCGUAGGUGGCCAUUUAAGUCCGCUGUGAAAGUCAGAGGCUCAACCUUUGAAAGCCGGUUGAUACUGGAUGGCUAGAGUACGGAAGAGGCGAGUGGAAUUCCUGGUGUAGCGGUGGAAUGCGCAGAUAUCAGGAGGAACACCAAUAGCGAAGGCAGCUCGCUGGGACGUUACUGACACUAAGGCGCGAAAGCGUGGGGAGCGAACAGG
rnacentral:rRNA from 1 species